rnacentral:rRNA from 1 species
GAUGAACGCUGGCGGCGUGCCUAAUACAUGCAAGUCGAACGAAUCACUUCGGUGGUUAGUGGCGAACGGGUGAGUAACACGUAGGUAAUCUGCCCUUCAGACGAGGAUAACGGUUGGAAACGACCGCUAAUACUGGAUAGUACAUCUUGUCGCAUGACGGGAUGUUUAAAGUUCCGUGCGGAACACUGAAGGAGGAGCCUGCGGCGCAUUAGUUAGUUGGCGGGGUAACAGCCCACCAAGACAAUGAUGCGUAGCCGGACUGAGAGGUUGAACGGCCACAUUGGGACUGAGACACGGCCCAG